UCUAUGGCACUGAUUUCGUAGGUGUACUUUCGUAUUACGCCGAUUCGGCUUCGUCUGUAGCGUUCUAGCCUGAUUCUGCUUAAUUUGUUUAGAUUCAUUCGUUCAUGAGCAAUUACUUCUGGCUCCUGCUUUUUCUUCACCUCCUAAUCUUCUCCCUUGGCUUCUACGCGUAUGUUCCCAUAGUCUUUGCAUCUUUCCUGACCCGUGUGGCUCUGCUUUUUUCCUCUCUCCUAUUUUCUGCCGCUGUCUCCUCACAUCUGUCGCCAGCAACGUCUCCGCCAGGGUUGGUGACCGUCCUUUCUCUCUGUUUCGACUCGUCGUGGGGAUUCGCUGCCGCCGUCGGUGGGUCGGCCUCGCUCCUCUUGCUCGUGCGGGGGGCUGCCGCGGCGCACCCCCCGCAGUGGUUUCGUCUUCCUUCGCCCUCUGCUGCUCUGAUACAGGGCUACACCAUUGCUGUUUCGGAUCCACUGGUGUCCGCUCUUGUCAGCAUCGUGCUAUCGUGGAUUGUGGUUUGCUGCUGCUGGCUCAUACCCAUCUUGGCAGGUAUUUGCCUGGUCGGUUCCUUUAUUGCCUAAUUUAUCUGUUUGCCUUGGCUUUGAUUUGCUGCUGUUGGCUCUGCUCGACCGAAGUAGUAUCAGAUUUGCCGGUGUGAGCUGUUCUCCGUGUUGCCAGCCUCUAGAUUUAUUGUACCUGGGUGCCGCGGUGUUUGCGUUGUUCUGAGUUGUUUUCUCAGCUCCGUUGGUGCUACGUUCUGCUGUUUUAUUCAGUAACAAUGAACUUAAAAUAACUCUUUGGGGUGAUCACGCGGUCAAUUUCACGGUGGGCGAUCUUAACACUAGAGACAACCCAAAAGCUGUUAUUGGUCUCUUUGUGGGUUUUAUACCCAGGAAAUGGCACUCCCACAGUUCUGAACAGAAGCCUUAUCUUAGUGGCAGCAGCAGUUCUUAUCACUAUCUAAACCCAGAUAUUACAGAAGCUUUACCAUUUUACAAUAGGUUCAGAAAUGAAGCCAUAUACAUAGAACAUCCUGAAACAUCUGAAGCUGAAAAAGAUGUGCAACCACAGCAUACUCCAUUGGACCAAAAGACCAUUGCUGAGCUAAAUAGUAUAGAUCCAUAUGAGUUCAUGAAAUUUGUUGACCUUAUAAUAGGAUGAAGGUUAUAAAUGUGCAGUUAACAUAACAAAAAUAGCCGAUGAUAAUAACUGGUGGUACAUGUCCUAUAAGGAAUGCAAGAAAAAAAUGGAUCCACAGGCCGGUGGUGGGUAUCGAUGUCCAAAAUGCCAUGGAACAAGCAGUUUACCCAGAUACCUAUUCAAUUUUAGUGCAAAGGACGACACAGGAGAAGCAAACUUGUUUGGAUAUGAUGAAACAGCUAGGAUAAUUAUUCAGAAAGACUGCAAUCUAAUUUUGAAUCCUUUGAAGCUAACAUUGGGACUUCCUCAGCAACUCUGUUAUCACUAAAAAAUUUGUCUUCUCCAUCAACCUUACAGAAGACUCAUUUACCUCUAAAGCAAAGAGACAGUAUUUGGUAAAACAUGUCUUAGAGAGACUUUACAGGCCAGGCUCCCUGCUCAACACUGCUGCAAUUGCAAAGGUUAACCAAACAAUACAAUCACCGCCAAGCAGCUCAGCACUCGCGCAGAACCUGCCUCCAGCAGCACGCGCAAUAAAGGUUCAGCAGGAGACUCUUCAGAUUCAGCAAGAGAAUGAAGCAACACCUGUUCCAGCCACUGAAAUAGAACAAACAACCAGAAAGGAACACAGCACCCAACUACCAACAGAGGUGCCUACCGCUCGUAGACGUUUGUUUGAGGAUACAGACGCAACAUAACAUGAUAGCACACCGGUACAAGUGGAUAAGGAUGACAUUGACAGUCCACCAGGCUCGCCACCGCACCCAAAAACAAAAAGAGCUAAAAUUCAGAAAUCAAAGCGCUGACCAUUACGGAUGUCGCACAGGAAAUCCUAGGCUACAACACACCUGCGGAAAUGUUUUGUGGCUGCGAAUGCUUCCCAGGCUUUACAUGCUACUCGAUCACGAAUAAAUAUAGAGGCAACUAAUGCUCUUUUGUCUGUAAAAUCAAAAUCACUGUAUAUGUGUAUAAGACUGUUCCGCAUCCAUCAUGUGUUAUAUGUAAAAUAUACACUGCUUCCAUCUAUGCUGCCAUCAACCAAUCAGUUGACCCUCCAUAGACCUUA